AUUGAACGCUGGCGGCAGGCCUAACACAUGCAAGUCGAGCGGAUGAAGGGAGCUUGCUCCUGGAUUCAGCGGCGGACGGGUGAGUAAUGCCUAGGAGUCUGCCUGGUAGUGGGGGAUAACGUCCGGAAACGGGCGCUAAUACCGCAUACGUCCUGAGGGAGAAAGUGGGGGAUCUUCGGACCUCACGCUAUCAGAUGAGCCUAGGUCGGAUUAGCCAGUUGGUGGGGUAAAGGCCUACCAAGGCGACGAUCCGUAACUGGUCUGAGAGGAUGAUCAGUCACACUGGAACUGAGACACGGUCCAGACUCCUACGGGAGGCAGCAGUGGGGAAUAUUGGACAAUGGGCGAAAGCCUGAUCCAGCCAUGCCGCGUGUGUGAAGAAGGUCUUCGGAUUGUAAAGCACUUUAAGUUGGGAGGAAGGGCAGUAAGUUAAUACCUUGCUGUUUUGACGUUACCAACAGAAUAAGCACCGGCUAACUUCGUG
rnacentral:rRNA from 1 species